AAAAAUUUUCCCAUUCCUAUUCCUAUGUUCGCCGUUUCUCCGUUCUCUGCUCAACUAAAAUAAUCGGCAAUCAGCACCACCCUUAACCGCAGCCGCCGCCACCACCACAACCACCACUGGCUAUACAGCAGUGUCUGUCACCACUAAGCCGCAUUGUAGUUUCCUCUGUGGUCUCUAUUAUUGUAAACUUGCUCAUUGGGUUCCUGAGAUGGGAGAAAAUUGUAAUGAUAUGUUAUUUGAGUAAAUUUCACUGUUAAUCUUACCAAUUAGUUUUGGAUAUUUGGAAUUGUUGAAGUAAAGCAAAAUUAGUUUUGAGACAACACCUUUGCAUCUGUUGAGACCUGCAUUGGUUUUCAAUAAGAAAAAUUCGUUCUUAUCCUUCGGGAGAAUCGGGGAAGAGGAGGCUGAAGAUUUGAUCAUUUUGCUUUGGGACUUCUAUAUGCUGCAAUGAAGAGAACAAAAGCGGCUAGCUAUUCAGUUGAUUUAUUUACUAGUUUUUCGCCAAAAAUAUUAUGAAAUCUUCACUUCCUCUGUGCCCAAACCUUUUUCCAAAUCUCUUAAUGAUCGUUGAUCUCUGGAACUCUAAAAUACGAGAAGCUGUAAAUGAAAACAACGCCCAUAAAGCCCUUUAUCUUUUUCGCCAAAUGAAGCAAAAUGGCCUAGAACCCAACAAUUUGACCUUCCCUUUCGUAUCCAAAGCCUGUGCCAAGGUUUCCAACCUCGAAUAUUCCCAAGUCAUCCACACCCACAUCAUAAAGUCCCCAUUUUACUCAAAUGUGUUUGUACAAACAGCUAUGCUGGAUAUGUAUGUGAAAUGUAAUCAACUAGACAUGGCGUAUAAUCUAUUUGUGAAAAUGCCAAAAAGGGAUGUUGCUUCGUGGAAUGUGAUGCUUGUGGGUUUCGCACAACUGGGUUUCCCUGAUAAAGUUUUUCAUAUAUUUCAGGAGAUGAGGUCUACACGGACUUUCCCUGAUUCAAUCACAAUUUUGGGACUGAGUCAGGCCAUAUCAUGUGUGAAGAAUUUGGAAUUAGCAAAGGGUGUUCAUGCAUUUGGAAUUCGAAUUGGGAUAGAUACUGAUGUUUCUGUUGCUAACACUUGGAUAUCUUUAUAUGCUAAAUGUGGUGAUUUGGAGAUGGCUAAGUCGGUUUUUGAUGGAAUUGAAGUAAGUUUAAGGAGUAUAGUAUCCUGGAAUUCUAUGAUUGCUGGGUAUGCCUAUCUUGAGAACUUUUUAGAGGCUUUUAAUUCUUACAAAUGGAUGCUGUAUGAUGGAUUUAGGCCUGAUAUUAGUACUAUUAUUAGCUUGCUUUCUUCAUGCGUACUGCCAGAGAUAGCUUUUCUAGGUAUGCAGAUUCAUUGUCAUGGAAUUGGAUUUGGUUGCGAUUCAGAUAUUCACGUGGUUAAUACUCUUAUAUCUAUGUAUUCCAAGAGUGGAGAUGUUUACUCUGCAAGAUGUUUAUUUGACAGCAUAUGUAACAGAAGUUGUGUUACUUGGACUGCUAUGAUAAGUGGUUAUGCUAAGAAAGGGGAUAUGGAUGAGGCAUUGAAUUUGUUUAAUGCAAUGGAAGCAGCUGGUGAGACACCUGAUUUGGUUACUGUACUUUCUAUGAUUUCGGGUUGCAGCCAAACUGGUAUUCUUGGAGUUGGAAUGUGGAUUGAUGCUUAUGCCAAUUCUAACUGUUUAAAACAUAAUGUUGUGGUUUGCAAUGCAUUGAUAGAUAUGUACGCAAAAUGUGGAAGUAUAUGCGAUGCCAGGGAUAUCUUUAAUACCAUGCCCAAUAAAACUGUUGUUUCCUGGACAACCAUGAUUGCAGGUUUUGCUUUGAAUGGAUUAUUUGAAGAAGCUUUGGACCUUUUCUAUAGGAUGGUUGAGUUGGAGUUGAAGCCAAAUCACAUAACAUUUCUUGCUAUACUUCAAGCUUGCACUCAUGGUGGUUUUCUUGAGGAAGGAUGGGAGUGCUUCAACAUGAUGACCAAAAUUUAUAAAAUAAGUCCUGGAUUAGAUCAUUAUUCCUGUAUGGCAGAUCUUCUAGGUCGUAAAGGAAAGCUAAAAGAAGCAUUGAAAUUUAUUCAAGAUAUGCCUGUCGAACCUGAUGCUGCCAUAUGGAGUGGAUUACUUAGUGCUUGCAAGAUACACCAAAACAUCGAGAUUGGUGAAUAUGCUGCUCAUCGCCUUUUUAAGAUGGAGCCCUGUGUGUCCUUUCCAUAUGUUGAGAUGGCUAACAUAUAUGCAUCAACAGGAAGGUGGGAUGGAGUUGCAAGGAUGAGAGCAAUGAUGAAAAGUAACAGGAUUAAGAAGUCUCCAGGACAGAGCCUUGUUGAAGUCAAUGGGAGAAUUUGUGCAUUCACUGUUGAAGACACAGGUCAUUUUGAUAGGGAGCUAAUAUAUGCUGUUUUGGAUGGUUUGAUGUUGCAAUCAAAGGAAGAAGGGCCCUCACAACAUUCCGAUGGAACUCCAGAAUUGGAGUUGGAAACUAGUCUGUCUUCACUUAAGAAGAAUGAUAUAGAAUGAUGUGGCUUGAUGUUAUGAGCAUAGACAAUGUGUAGGGUUUGGUUUACAUGGUGCAUUUUUUUUAACUUCAGUUAAACAAAUUCAACAGUGGGUUUUUGAAAGCAGAGGUGA
rnacentral:misc_RNA from 1 species